UUUUGUAGGAAAUGAUUCCAUGAAGCCACUGCACUCAGCAGUGAUGGAAAAUGAUGCUUAAACCUUUUAGUCUGGGGAUGCGACCUGGGGGACAGGCACGGGGUUCUGAUGAUCCUGGAUCAGGAAAAGCCCCAGGGGCUUAUGUGGGGAUGUCCCCUGGUGGGGUCCCUGCACUCCCAGCAAGGUGGGGACAGAGGGACCCACAUGCCUGGGUUUGUCACUGUGUGUCUGUCCUUUCUCUGCGUGCUGCCUCAGUUUCCCCAUUGGGAGCUAGAGAGAAGUGGAGGGGGAAUGAGGACGGAGCAGCCGAACUCAUGCUGAGAGUUGCUCUGGGAAUGCUUCUUGCUCUGUCUCUGCCCCUGUGAGGGCGCUGGGGACCCUAGAAUUCUCUCUACCCACAAUAGGGACCAUGUUGUUCCUGGUCCCCUCUCUCCUUCUGUUCCCCCACUCAGCACAGGGACCGCUGUGACUUUGCCAAGGUCACAGCUGUGGCAGCAGAGUGUUGCACUCUCAGAGCUGAUACUGCAUCCUCAGCCCCACAGCAGAAUGGAGACUCCCAUGUCCCGAGGGUACCCCAUAGUGCUGGGGGGGCUCUGUGUAUUGCUGCCUUGCCACACACUUCUGAGUGCUCCAGCUCCAUUCCACGUUGCCAGCACUGCUUGGGUGUUCGGGGUACACGCCGAGCUGGACAUCUUUGCUAUCGGUGUUUACAGUAAAUCCCUCUCUGAGUAUCAGUGAGUUUCUCUCCGUAAGAACUCGGAGUCAGGUUUCAGGCUGGGGAUACUGCUGGAGGGGAGCAGAGAUAGCAGGAGAUGCUCAGCCCCAUGGUGCCCACCUGCAAUGGGGUGGAAAACCCCUGGGAUGGUGACCCCAUAGCCCCAUCUCUGCAAAGUGUCAAUGGGAGCGAUUCGGUGGGAGGAUGCUGCGUGCUCACUGCUGCUACCCCAGGGGCUGCAGCCUCCAUGGGGUUGGCAGAGGGCUAUGAAAUGGUCCUAGGAAGCUCCCGCAGAGCCAGACCUCGUUAGCAUCACAGCAGCCGUGCUGUCCCCCUAGGAGCUGUGGUGCGCCGGCUGCCUGUCAUGGCUGCUCUCAUCUGCCCCAGCUGCCCACAGCGACCGCAGGCAGCUGACAGCCAGAGCAGGACAUUAACCCCUGCCACGCAUCGCUGCGGCCCUAUCUUGGGGUGGGGAGGGAUGACACCUGUGUGGUGGCGGGAUGCUCUGGGGCAUCCCUUUGCCCCUGGGCCCCUUUUUGCCACCCCAGUCUGCGGCAGCAUGGACAUCCGCAACGACGUGUCGCAGCUGCAGAAGCUGGAGAACUGCUCCAUCAUCGAAGGCAACCUGCAGAUCCUGCUGAUGUUCACCACGGGCGCCGAGGACUUCCGCGGGCUCAGCUUCCCCCGCCUGCUGAUGAUCACCGAGUACCUGCUGCUCUUCCGUGUCUACGGGUUGGAGAGCCUGCGGGAUCUCUUCCCCAACCUCUCGGUCAUCCGUGGCACCAACCUCUUCUUCAACUACGCGUUGGUCAUCUUCGAGAUGCCGCACCUGCGGGAGAUCGGGCUGCACAGCCUGAGCCACGUGCUGCGCGGCUCGGUGCGCAUCGAGCGCAACCAGGAGCUCUGCCACCUCUCCACCAUCGACUGGGGGCUGCUGCUGCCCGACGCCGUGGACAACAGCUACAUUGUGGGCAAUAAGCUGGCUGAGGAGUGCGCCGACGUCUGCCCAGGUAUCCUGGACGUGGAGAAGCCGUGUGCGCAGACCGUUGUCAAUGGGCAGUUGGAUUACCGCUGCUGGACCUCCAGCUACUGCCAGAAAGUGUGCCCGUGCGGUGCGGGCUCGGCGUGCACGGCGUCGGGUGAGUGCUGCCAUGCUGAGUGCCUGGGGGGCUGCGGGCGGCCCCGUGACAGCCGCUCCUGCGUGGCCUGCCGUCACUUCCACUUCAAUGGGCACUGCCUGCCCUCUUGCCCACCCCGCACCUAUGAGUACGAGGGCUGGCGCUGCGUCACAGCUGAGUACUGUGCCAGCCUGCGCAAGGUCUCCGACAACCCACGCGACGCCUCCAAGUUUGUCAUCCACCAGCAGCAGUGCCUCUCUGAGUGCCCCCCCGGCUACACCAGGAAUGAAAGCAGCAUCUUCUGCCACAAGUGUGAGGGGUUGUGCCCCAAAGCAUGCAAGGUUGGCACCAAGACAGUGGACUCGACACGGGCAGCGCAGGAGCUGACAGGCUGCACUCUGGUGGAGGGCAACCUCAUCCUGAACAUCCGCCGAGGCUAUAAUCUGGCCUCGGAGCUGCAGAGCAGCCUGGGCCUCAUCGAGACCAUCACGGGCUUCCUGAAGAUCAAGCACUCCUUCGCCCUUGUCUCCUUGUCCUUCUUCAAGAACCUCAAGCUGAUCCGCGGAGACUCCAUGGUGGAUGGGAAUUACACCCUAUACGUCCUGGACAAUCAGAAUCUGCAGCAGUUGUGGGACUGGAGCCACCACGUCCUCUCUAUCCCUGUGGGCAAGAUGUAUUUUGCCUUCAACCCCAAGCUUUGCUUGGCUGAGAUCUACCACAUGGAGGAGGUGACGGGCACCAAGGGGCGGCAGAACAAGGCAGAGAUCAACCCGCGCACCAACGGGGACCGGGCGUCCUGCAAAACCCAAACCUUGCGUUUCAUCUCCAACAUCACCGAGUCCGACCGCAUCUUCCUCAAGUGGGAGCGGUACCGGCCGCCUGAGUACCGAGACCUCCUCAGCUUCAUUGUCUACUACAAGGAGUCACCUUUCCAGAACGUGUCAGAGUAUGUGGGGCAGGAUGCUUGCGGGGCACAGAGCUGGAAUGUGCUGGACGUGGAGCUGCCACUCAGCAGUGAGCAGGAGCCAGGGGUGGCCCUGCUCAACCUGCGGCCGUGGACACAAUAUGCCAUCUUCGUCCGUGCCAUCACCCUCACCACCGCCGAGGAAGGGCGCAAUUAUGGGGCGCAGAGCGAGGUGGUCUACAUCCGCACCAUGCCAGCAGCCCCGACAGUGCCGCGGGAUGUCAUCUCCAUGUCCAACUCCUCAUCCCACAUCGUGGUGCGCUGGAAGCCACCUACGCAGCGCAAUGGCAACAUCACCUACUACCUGGUGCUGUGGCAGCAGCUGGCCGAGGACAUGGAGCUCUACAUCAAUGACUACUGCCACAAAGGCCUGAAGCUGCCCACCAGCAGUGCAGACACGCGCUUCAGUGACGGGGACGGCCCUGAAGUGGAGCAGGAUGCAGAGGAGCGCUGCUGCCCCUGCCGCCCUGCUGACGGGCAGCUCCGCAUGGAGGGCGAGGCUGAGUCCUUCCAGAAGAAGUUCGAGAACUUCCUCCAUAACUCCAUCAUCAUCCCCAGGCCACCUUGGAAGGUGACAUCCAUCAACAAGUACCCACAGCGGACCCCAAAGCGCCGCAGGGACCUGAUGGCCGUCACAUCCCCCACCAACGCCUCCUCAGUGGAGCCACCACCUCCAAGCCACACCAGAGCCGAACCCAAACCCGAUUUCCAGAUCUUUGAGGACAAAGUGGUGCGGGACCGCGCGGUGCUGUCGCGGCUGAGGCACUUCACAGAGUACCGCAUCGACAUCCAUGCAUGCAACCACGCUGCGCACACCGUGGGCUGCAGCGCGGCCACUUUUGUCUUCGCCAGGACCAUGCCUGAGUUGCAAGCUGACAACAUUCCCGGCAACGUGACCUGGGAGCCAGCCAGCAAGAACAGCGUGCUGCUGCGCUGGCAGGAGCCCCGGAACCCCAAUGGGCUCAUCCUCAAGUAUGAGAUCAAGUACAGCCGUGAGAGCGAGGAGGUCACCACUGUUGUUUGCGUCUCCCGACACCGCUAUGCUAAAUAUGGAGGUGUGCACCUGGCCCUGCUGCAGCCAGGGAAUUACUCAGCCAAGGUCCGUGCCACAUCUCUGGCCGGCAAUGGCUCCUGGACGGGACUUGUCAAGUUCUACAUCCUGGGGCCAGCCGAGGAGGAGUCCGGCAGCUUCUACAUCCUGCUCACUGUUACGCCUGUGAUCCUCAUGGUGCUCAUCUCUUGCCUCGCCGUCUUUGUCUUCUUCUACAAUAAGAAGAGGAGCAAUGAUGGCUACCCCAGUGGGACGCUGUACGCCUCUGUCAACCCCGAGUACUUCAGUGCCUCGGACAUGUAUAUCCCUGAUGAAUGGGAAGUAUCACGGGAGAAGAUCACGGUGAUCCGGGAGCUGGGGCAGGGCUCCUUUGGGAUGGUGUACGAGGGGCUGGCACUGGGGCUGGUGGCUGAGGGUGAGGAGACCAAGGUGGCCUUGAAGACAGUCAACGAGCUGGCCACCAUGCGGGAGCGCAUCGAGUUCCUCAAGGAAGCCUCCGUCAUGAAGGCCUUCAAGUGCCACCAUGUGGUCCGUCUGCUUGGCGUCGUGUCCCAGGGCCAGCCAGCCUUGGUCAUCAUGGAGCUGAUGACACGUGGGGACCUGAAGAGCUACCUGCGCUCUCUCAGACCCGACGCCGAGCCUCCUCUCUCUGUGCGUGGUGCAGAACAACCCCGGGCUGCCGCCACCCUCGCUCAAGGACAUGAUCCAGAUGGCGGGCGAGAUCGCCGACGGCAUGGCCUACCUCAACGCCAAGAAGUUCGUGCACCGUGACCUCGCCGCGCGCAACUGCAUGGUGUCUGAGGACUUCACCGUCAAGAUUGGAGAUUUCGGCAUGACGCGGGACAUCUACGAGACAGAUUAUUACCGCAAAGGGGGCAAGGGGCUGCUCCCCGUCCGCUGGAUGUCCCCCGAGGCC